GAAAUGCGAUAAGUAGUGUGAAUUGCAGAAUUCAGUGAAUCAUCGAAUCUUUGAACGCACAUUGCGCCCUUUGGUAUUCCUUAGGGCAUGCCUGUUCGAGCGUCAUCUAAACCUUCAAGCCCCGCUUGGUGUUGGGUGCCUGUCCCGCCUCCGCGCGCGGACUCACCUCAAAUCCAUUGGCGGCCCCCGCGUCGGCCACGAGCGCAGCAGAAACGCGAACUCGUGAGCCCGUCCGGGCGGCUCCCAGAAGCUACACCCACCCAGUUUGACCUCGGAUCAGGUAGGGAUACCCGCUGAACUUAAGC
rnacentral:misc_RNA from 1 species